AAGUACCAAAAUCUAAUCGGUUCGAGUGGGGGUCAGCCACCAGAGGUAACGGGGAAAGUUCGGUGCGAAUCCGGCGCUGUACCGCAGCUGUGUUGAGUUAACCCAUAGGGAACUCAAAAGCCAGAAUGCCCACCGAUAGAGUGAUCACUCA
rnacentral:ncRNA from 2 species